rnacentral:rRNA from 1 species
AAAUUUCUUACACCGAAUGCUUGCAUUCACCGUAAGAAGUUGAGUGGCGGACGGGUGAGUAACACGUGGGUAACCUGCCUAAAAGAAGGGGAUAACACUUGGAAACAGGUGCUAAUACCGUAUAUCUCUAAGGAUCGCAUGAUUCUUAGAUGAAAGAUGGUUCUGCUAUCGCUUUUAGAUGGACCCGCGGCGUAUUAACUAGUUGGUGGGGUAACGGCCUACCAAGGUGAUGAUACGUAGCCGAACUGAGAGGUUGAUCGGCCACAUUGGGACUGAGACACGGCCCAAACUCCUACGGGAGGCAGCAGUAGGGAAUCUUCCACAAUGGACGCAAGUCUGAUGGAGCAACGCCGCGUGAGUGAAGAAGGUCUUCGGAUCGUAAAACUCUGUUGUUAGAGAAGAACACGAGUGAGAGUAACUGUUCAUUCGAUGACGGUAUCUAACCAGCAAGUCACGGCUAACUACGUGCCAGCAGCCGCGGUAAUACGUAGGUGGCAAGCGUUGUCCGGAUUUAUUGGGCGUAAAGGGAACGCAGGCGGUCUUUUAAGUCUGAUGUGAAAGCCUUCGGCUUAACCGGAGUAGUGCAUUGGAAACUGGGAGACUUGAGUGCAGAAGAGGAGAGUGGAACUCCAUGUGUAGCGGUGAAAUGCGUAGAUAUAUGGAAGAACACCAGUGGCGAAAGCGGCUCUCUGGUCUGUAAC